GUGCUCACUUUGGCAGCACACACUAACAUUGGAAUGAUACAGAGAAGAUUAGCAUGGCCCCUGAGCAAAGAUGAUGUGCAAAUUCUUGAAGUGUUCCAUAUUAAA
rnacentral:snRNA from 1 species